rnacentral:ncRNA from 2 species
GGUCAAGAGUGCCAGCGUCAAGUCCGGGCUUGCUGGCCGGCAACCCUCCUCCGCGGCGGGGUGCCCCCGGUUGUGACCAGGCCGCGUCCGGGUGUCGGGCGUGGCAAGUGCGGACC